CAACCUGCCCUGAAGCGGGGGACAACAACUCGAAAGAGUUGCUAAUACCGCAUGUGUAUCAGAAUGGCAUCAUUCAGGAUACAAAGCCUUCGGGCACUUCAGGAUGGGCCCGCGGCCUAUCAGCUAGUUGGUGAGGUAACGGCCCACCAAGGCUUCGACGGGUAGCUGGUCUGAGAGGACGAUCAGCCGGAUUGGGACUGAGAUACGGCCCAG
rnacentral:rRNA from 1 species